GCAUAUCAAUAAGCGUAGAACAUGACACCAACAGGGAUUGCCUCAGUAACGGCGAGUGAAGCGGCAACAGCUCAAAUUUGAAAUCUGGCUCUUUCAGGGUCCGAGUUGUAAUUUGUAGAAGAUGCUUCGGGUGUGGCUCCGGUCUAAGUUCCUUGGAACAGGACGUCAUAGAGGGUGAGAAUCCCGUAUGUGACUGGUUGCCUUCGCCCAUGUGAAGCUCUUUCGACGAGUCGAGUUGUUUGGGAAUGCAGCUCAAAAUGGGUGGUAAAUUUCAUCUAAAGCUAAAUAUUGGCCAGAGACCGAUAGCGCACAAGUAGAGUGAUCGAAAGAUGAAAAGCACUUUGGAAAGAGAGUUAAACAGUACGUGAAAUUGUUGAAAGGGAAGCGCUUGCAACCAGACUUGCGUGCGGUCGAUCAUCCGGUGUUCUCACCGGUGCACUCGAUCGUAUUCAGGCCAGCAUCGGUUUCGGUGGUUGGAUAAAGGCCUUGGGAAUGUAGCUUCUCUCGGGGAGUGUUAUAGCCCAAGGUGCAAUGCAGCCUACCGGGACCGAGGACCGCGCUUCGGCUAGGAUGCUGGCGUAAUGGUUGUAAGCGACCCGUCUUGAAACACGGACCAAGGAGUCUAACAUCUAUGCGAGUGUUUGGGUGUCAAACCCAUACGCGUAAUGAAAGUGAACGGAGGUGAGAACCCUUAAGGGUGCAUCAUCGACCGAUCCUGAUGUCUUCGGAUGGAUUUGAGUAAGAGCAUAGCUGUUGGGACCCGAAAGAUGGUGAACUAUGCCUGAAAUAGGGUGAAGACCAGAGGAAAACUCUGGUGGAGGCUCGCAGCGGUUCUGACGUGCAAAUCGAUCGUCAAAUUUGGGUAUAGCGGUCUAGAGACUAAUCUAACUCAUCUAGUAGCCCUGGCAUGCAUGCCCGAAAG
rnacentral:rRNA from 1 species